UUUUACAUGAUUUGGUAAAGUAAAUUUUAUUUGAAUUAAAUGUGUAGCUUGAAAUGUAUUUGAUCAUGUUCCGAUGUUACUCAUAAUUAUGAAUAACUUUGUCCAUAAUUUAAGGUUCUACAUAAUUAUUAAUGUAAGCACAAGAUGAAAUGCUGUCAUUUUCUGCCUUAGUGUUUGUAUUUAAACAAAUUAAUAGGGAAAUAAAACGUUUUCUAAGGAUGUGUAACCAAGGAGCAAGAGACCAUUUGCAUCAGUGACAAAGAAGGCAAAGGCAUGCGUUUCAAAAAUGAUAUUGUAUUUUUUGUAACGGUUCAGCUCUUUGGAAUGACAAAUGUCCAUUCACUGACAUUCAGUGUUCAAUGAAUUGCACAGGUCUAAAUCAAGGGGCUGUAGCCUUUAUACAGUAUCUGUAUAUAUAAAAAAAGAAGAGUUGUCCUAACAAUGAUUGGGCCCUCUAAUGCAUUUUGUUACAAAAUGAGGUAGUUAUUUUUCAUAAGGAGUAACAGACAAAGAAUGAGGUAGGUAUGUGGACAUAUUUGUGCAUGUUAAUUAUAUUGACUAAAAGUCACUACAAAGUGAAACUGAACUUUUUCCAUAAGCAGCAAAGAAAAUUAAGGAAAUCACGAUAGCUCCAUCUUUGGACAUGCUCAUUCUGUUUUGAGUUUUUGUGAACAAUCUAACAAGUUAAACAUAAGUCAAACAUACAGUGUGAAACACAACAUACAACAAAACAGCUCACUGAAACAGCCUGUUUUUAAAUGCAACAGCUUUGUUAGAAAGUUUGUCCCCAUUCAGUUCCAUAAAAACCUUCUGAAAGACAUCAAAAGUGUAGCGGGGCUCAGUUAGGGUAACUGAGGUUCAUGGCAUACAUGAGGCCGAACAGCAUUGCAACAGCAAAUGCUACGUUGCCCAGAUCCUGCAGCACCUUGACGCCUUCAAGGACAAUCCCAGUGUCCCCUGGAUCCUCACUCGCGAAAUGGUCUUUGAUAAUGUAGAUCCCCACAGUAGUGUCCUCAACAGCUGCCUUGGUGGACUCUUCAUCCAUGCCCUGAAGAAGACACAAAGGCAAAACUUGUCAAUCAUAUAAAAUGAAUCAUUCGUCAAUGAAGUGUUUACAGUUAGGGACUCUAGACUGCAGAAAGUAUAGCUCAUGAAGCACAAGAGCAUGAUACAGACAAAAAUAAAUCAAGACUGGAGUCCUUUUAAGUGUCAACUAAAUUGAACUGUUUAUAAUAUUUGAACACCGCCUAUUACAAGGCUAAAAUGAAAAGUGGUUCUAACCAAGAUUUCUAUUCAGAUUACAUUUGAGACAUAGCCAAUUUGAUCACUGGAGACAUGGAGUCUUUAAUCUGAGUAAUACAAUUAUGAAUAAAAAGAAAGUGCAUCUAACCGUAGCUAAUGAAAUAAGAUGGAAGACAGAUGAGAUGAUAGAUACAGUAAUAGAAUAGCUAGUGAUAGAAUAUGAAGGUGGCACGGAACAGGAGAGGAAGAGAAAGAAAAAGGAAAAAGGAAACACUUCAUACCAAUUAGGCAAGCUGAGGGAAAACAAUCUUCUACCUUCACCAACCAAUCUCAGAUAACAUGACCAAUAGAUCAACAAUAAAACAAGCAUGGCUAACUUCCCUCAAUGACUUCAAAGAGCGCAGGCCAUCUUGCCAUGAAGUCCUCUACCAAGGGUGCGUCACGGACAACUUAAUGUCUCCUGUAUGCAAACGUCUUCUCCAUUUUGAACUUCACCGUCUCUCUGUUGUUCCUUUUCUUCACAUCAGACAGUAGAGCUUUCCGCAUGUCCUCGAGGCUCUCUUCUGUUUCUCCUGAAGGAUAUGUGGGGCAAAGGUUCACUUUUGUAUGUACUGUACAUGGGUAACGGACAGUACGGCCGUAAUGCGGGUGCUUUAACUUGUAAUGAUGCAAAAGUUGGGACCUGCUUGACACCAAUUCUGAACACCCCUUACAUUUCCACAACACUGAAAAAAAGAUAACAGAAAUGUGCGGCUCAGUUGGUAGAGCAUGGUGUUUGCAACGCCAGGGUUGUGGGUUCGAUUCCCACGGAGGACAAGUACGGAGAAAAAAAAUGUAUGAAAUGUAUGCAUUCACUACUGUAAGUCGCUCUGGAUAAGAGCGUCUGCUAAAUGACUAAAAUGUAAAUGUACCAUAAGACCUAAAGACUGACAUUCUGAGCAAAUUUUGGGGGGGGGUAUUAAAAUAACCUCUGAUAACAGUACUCACCAACACUAUACAUCCUUUGAAUGUGUAGACAAAAGCAGCACAAAUGUAGCAGGCAAACAUCAUGGACCUGUUAAUAUACUUUUUGUUCAUGAAAUUAUUUUUUUCAUUAUAAAAUAUUUGAUUCAAUUAUCUGUUGAUUUAUGCAUGCAUCUACUCAUAUGCACAUACGUUGAAUUAUUUUUGUCAAAUAAUUGUAAAUGUAUUGAUAAAUGGACACCCAUAAUAUAAAGUAACUAUGUUCCAAGUGCUAAAAUGAACUCCACAACCCAGUUAAAUAAGUCUCGGUCACCUUUGCACCAUGUUUUACGACAUGGAGGCAGCCAUGGGCAAACUGUUAAACUGCAUGAACCACCAAUCUCAUAGGAUUAGGUGUAUGAUCAUUAGACCUUAAAUAUGUCAUGAUUUUUUUUGUUGUUGAUGCAAAUACAUUAACUUUCACAAUUUUUUACCUCACAAGGAAGAAAAAAAAUGGCGCACUAAAUGCUGCUGCGAAGUGAUUGCAGACCAUGUCGUGCACAAGCACCAAAGAAUUUGUUAGCUAGCAUGUUAGCUAGCUCAAGUGGUGUGCACUCCUCAGAAAACCUUAAUUAGUUCUUGGCUUGGUAAAUUCGAAGUUCUUGACCAAUAGGUACAUAUCAUGGUGUGUCGCCAACUAACUUUACCUCCUUGCAAAAUGUUCAUCUUGACCUAGUCCUGUUUUACUGUUCAUAGAAGCUAGCUAGCAACAUUGUCUUUUACCUUUAGCUGCCAUGCCAAUAUGUUUCAGACUCAAAAGCACAAAACUAGGAUAUGGAGCAAUCACUAAUAAUGUUGCUGCUUACAAUUCUGACUACAGACAAACGUUGAAUAAAAAUAAAUCACCAUGCUUACCUUGACCACGAUUCUAGAUAUUGUCUUCUCCGCUAACGCGCCAAGGAUCUUUCUGGAAGAUUCUUCUCUCACGCGGUUUGACUUCUUCCUCAUUACUCGUCAUGAAUUAGCUUUAUUGGUUCACACUCCAACUACAUGAUUCAAACUAGUAGAUCAGAUUUUGCUUCGUGUUGCAUUGAUCGCAAACAAUGAAAUUGUGUUGUGAGGAGAAACAAAACAUGUUUGAGUAAAUCACAUAAAUCUGUCCCGUUUUUUCAGUGUAGGUUUCACCAACAAUCUUUAAUGUUUCCUGUACAAUUUUACCCCACAUAAAGCUCUUUUGUGGAAUAAUUCAGGCAUAACUGUAAGGAAUAAGUAAUUGUUCUACCCUAGCUGCCAUGAGAGGAAUAUUGACUUUGUUCUUAAUGUUUUCACCAACAGGGGUAAUAUUCUUUCAAAUUUAUAACAUUGAAUGAGUUUCCAAUAACUUUCAGAGAGUUUAUUUCUGUGAUAAAAAGCCAUUCCCAGUGGUCUUACUACACUAAUGAAAAUUAAUCUUAGCUUUGGUGAUGAUCACAGAGUUUAUCCAGAACUCAGUUUGAAAGGCGUGGACUUACUCGAGAAAUCUUGUAACAAAUACACAUUUUCCAUUCACGGAACCAAUUUAUGCCUAGAGGAAACAUUUUCUGGAACAUGCUUAUUCCUGACUAUGUCUGGGGAAAAAGCUUGUUUGAAGCCUUACAGAUAUUUUAUACCAAACAAAUUUAAGGAAGUGCACUUUAAGAUUCUACAUAAGAUAUAUCCAUGUAAUUCUAUGUUGUCCAAAUUUGUUGAUAUUGAUGAUAUCUGCGUUUUCUGCAAAAGAAAAAGGUGAAAAUCUAACUCACUUGUUCUAUGGAUGUAAAUCUGUGAUAGAGUUUUGGAAAAACCUUGCAGAAUACAUAUUUACCUUUUUGAGCACUACUCCUGUUUUUAACAUGAAGGAUAUAGUAUUAUAGUAGUAAGGAUAUAGUAGUAUUUUCUUGUUUAUACUUGUGUUUUGUUUUGUUAGACAUGUUUGAUGUAGGGAUGUAAAUUGUUUCUAAUUUUGUGUAGUAAUUUUUUAUAUAUAUACACAGUAUAUACCUAAAACAUGGGGUUAAUAACACUUCUGUGGAUACUUUGUCUCAAAAUCCGACUAACACCACUGAAGUGUAUUCAACAUUCUGAAUAUUAAAGGGACUAUUUUGAAUUAUUUUACGUAAAUUUGAGUGGUGUUGCCUACAUAAUUUGAAGGCAUCUCCAUGUUUCGUGCUUAGGCUUAAACCAGUGACAGUUUGUUCAGGUUCUUUCAAUCGCAUUAAUCUCUCUACUCCGCCUGUCUCCUGUCUCUCUCUGUCUGUCUUGAGCUUUCCCUAGCAAACUUGCAACAUUGUAACGACUUGGUCCAGCUCGCUAGCGAACUUGCAACAUUGUUUUAACUGGACCCUCACAGUUUCCCCGCACUAAUGAGCUCCGGACAGACACAGCUGUAUUUUUGUCCUGUAUUCCUGUCAUGAAUCCCGCUUCCUGAGUCUGUGUUCUGCCUGAGCUGACUGUUUUCUGUUUUGGAGUUGUUUCUGAACACACCCUGUCUGGUUGCCGGGCGACGAAGCUAGGCGGGAGAUCUCUCAAUUACCCGCACCUGCAUCUCAUCAGCCAUCUGCACACCUGGUCCUGAUCAUCACCUCUUCUCUUCAUAAACCCUGACCUGACAUCCAUUCCCUGCCGGAUCGUUAGCAAUGAACAUUAGUCAUCCUCCCGGAACAUUCGCCCCCCUUGCCUGGUCGUCGGUGGUUUCAGUGACAUCAUUGGAUCUGCCUAUUCACUCUCAUCAACUCACCUCCGCUGCCUCGAGUCUGUGAAUAAAUACUCACCUUCAUUUUACUCACCUUGUCCUGGUCUGCUUCUGGGUUCAGCUUUAGAGAAACGUGACAAUUUCAGCCCCUUUUCACGUGUCCCGAUUAUGAUAUAUUUUUCAUUUGUCAGCAAGACGCAUCAAUUAAUUCAGGCUACAAUAUUGUAGGCCUAAUGACAAUCGCGAAUGUCAUUACACUUUUUGUGAUUUUGUAACGUCUCUUUCCCUCCAUCAAAUGGCAGGUGCACAGUGCAUUGUUUGGGUACUGGAAUUAUUUUGGAGUGGGCCAACGUGCCCAGGUAGCCUACGUUUUAGGUAGUCUAGGUUUUUGAAGUGAUUUGUUUGAUAGAUGAAAACAUCGUGACUGGUUGUGUUCAUUAAAAGGUAAUGUCUUUACUAUUAGGACCAUUAAAUAGGAAGUCCC
rnacentral:lncRNA from 1 species